CCUACGGGUGGCAGCAGUAGGGAAUCUUCCACAAUGGGCGCAAGCCUGAUGGAGCAACACCGCGUGAGUGAAGAAGGGUUUCGGCUCGUAAAGCUCUGUUGUUGGAGAAGAACGUGCGUGAGAGUAACUGUUAACGCAGUGACGGUAUCCAACCAGAAAGUCACGGCUAACUACGUGCCAGCAGCCGCGGUAAUACGUAGGUGGCAAGCGUUAUCCGGAUGUAUUGGGCGUAAAGCAAGCGCAGGCGGUUGCUUAGGUCUGAUGUGAAAGCCUUCGGCUUAACCGAAGAAGUGCAUCGGAAACCGGGCAACUUGAGUGCAGGAGAGGACAGUGGAACUCCAUGUGUAGCGGUGGAAUGCGUAGAUAUAUGGAAGAACACCAGUGGCGAAGGCGGCUGUCUGGUCUGCAACUGACGCUGAGGCUCGAAAGCAUGGGUAGCGAACAGGAUUAGAUACCCCAGUAGUC
rnacentral:rRNA from 1 species